rnacentral:rRNA from 1 species
UGGACUAAAAGUCGUCACACGGUGGCCAUAUAAAUCUUAACAGGGUAACCAAGUGGGGGAUAACUACUCGAUAGAGUAGCUAAUACCGCAUGAUAUCUACGGAUGAAAACAGGGGACCUUCGGGCCUUGUGCUACUAUAGCGGCUGAUGGCAGAUUAGGUAGCUGGGGGGGUAAAGGCUUACCACCCCUGCGAUCUGUAGCUGGUCUGAGAAGACGACCAGCCACCCUGCGUCUGAGACGCGGCCGACACUCCUCCUGGAGGCAGCAGCGGGGUAUUUUAUACAAUGGGCGACAGCCUGAUCCUCCAGCGCCGCGUGCAGUAUGAAGGCCCUCGUUUUGUAGACUGCUAUUGUACGGAACGAAGAGCCUGGUGCUAAUAUCCCCGGGUCAUGAUGGCACCGUAAGAAUGAGUCCGGCUAACUACGUGCCAUCCCCCGCGCUAAUACAAAGGGUGCACGCGUAUCUCGGAUUUACUGUGCGUAGCGCGUGCGCAGGGGGCUUUGUAACACAGUUGAGAUAUCCCCGGGCUCAAUCUGGCAUCUGCCAUUGUGACUGCUAAGCUAGAAUUUCGGCAGAGGGGGAUGGAAUUCCGCUUGUAGCAGUGAAAUGCGAAAAUAUGCGGAGAAACACCGAUGGCGAAGGCGAUCCCCCUGGGUCUGCCUGACCUCAUCCCCGAAAGCGUGGGGGCAAACAGGAUUAGAUACCCUGGUAGUCCACGCCCUAACGAUGUCAACUGGUUGUUGGGUCUUAGUGACUUAGUAGCCGACCUAACGCGUGAAUUGACCGCCUUGGGAGUACUGGCGGCAAGGUUAAACUCAAAAGAAUUGACGGGGACCCCGCCCAAGCCGGUGGAAGAUG